CCUACGGGGGGCUGCAGUGGGGAAUCUUGCGCAAUGCGCGAAAGCGUGACGCAGCAACGCCGCGUGGGGGAAGAAGGCCUUCGGGUUGUAAACCUCUUUCAGUUGGGACGAAGCCUUACGGGUUAAUAGCCCGCGGAGGUGACGGUACCUUCAGAAGAAGCCCCGGCUAACUACGUGCCAGCAGCCGCGGUAAUACGUAGGGGGCAAGCGUUGUCCGGAAUCAUUGGGCGUAAAGAGCGUGUAGGCGGCCCGAUAAGUCCGCUGUGAAAGUCCAGGGCUCAACCCUGGAAUGCCGGUGGAUACUGUCGGGCUCGAAUCCGGAAGAGGUGAGUGGAAUUCCUGGUGUAGCGGUGAAAUGCGCAGAUAUCAGGAGGAACACCAAUGGCGAAGGCAGCUCACUGGGACGGUAUUGACGCUGAGACGCGAAAGCGUGGGGAGCAAACAGGAUUAGAUACCCCAGUAGUC
rnacentral:rRNA from 1 species